AGUGAACGCUGGCGGUAGGCCUAACACAUGCAAGUCGAACGGCAGCACAGUAAGAGCUUGCUCUUACGGGUGGCGAGUGGCGGGCGGGUGAGGAAUACAUCGGAAUCUACUUUUUCGUGGGGGAUGACGUAGGGAAACUUACGCUAAUACCGCAUACGACCUACGGGUGAAAGCAGGGGAUCUUCGGACCUUGCGCGAUUGAAUGAGCCGAUGUCGGAUUAGCUAGUUGGCGGGGUAAAGGCCCACCAAGGCGACGAUCCGUAGCUGGUCUGAGAGGAUGAUCAGCCACACUGGAACUGAGACACGGUCCAGACUCCUACGGGAGGCAGCAGUGGGGAAUAUUGGACAAUGGGCGCAAGCCUGAUCCAGCCAUACCGCGUGGGUGAAGAAGGCCUUCGGGUUGUAAAGCCCUUUUGUUGGGAAAGAAAAGCAGCAGGUUAAUACCCCGCUGUUCUGACGGUACCCAAAGAAUAAGCACCGGCUAACUUCGUG
rnacentral:rRNA from 1 species